CCUAACGGUUAAUACCCGUUAGCGAUGACAUUAGCUGCAGAAUAAGCACCGGCUAACUCUGUGCCAGCAGCCGCGGUAAUACAGAGGGUGCAAGCGUUAAUCGGAAUUACUGGGCGUAAAGCGAGCGUAGGUGGCUUGAUAAGUCAGAUGUGAAAUCCCCGGGCUUAACCUGGGAACUGCAUCUGAAACUGUUAGGCUAGAAUAGGUGAGAGGAAGGUAGAAUUCCAGGUGUAGCGGUGAAAUGCGUAGAGAUCUGGAGGAAUACCGAUGGCGAAGGCAGCCUUCUGGCAUCAUAUUGACACUGAGGUUCGAAAGCGUGGGUAGCAAACAGGAUUAGAUACCCUGGUAGUCCACGCCGUAAACGAUGUC
rnacentral:rRNA from 1 species